rnacentral:rRNA from 1 species
GACGAACGCUGGCGGCGUGCUUAACACAUGCAAGUCGAACGGAAAGGCCCUGCUUUUGUGGGGUGCUCGAGUGGCGAACGGGUGAGUAACACGUGAGUAACCUGCCCUUGACUUUGGGAUAACUUCAGGAAACUGGGGCUAAUACCGGAUAGGAUCUCCUGCUGCAUGGUGGGGGUUGGAAAGUUUCGGCGGUUGGGGAUGGACUCGCGGCUUAUCAGCUUGUUGGUGGGGUAGUGGCUUACCAAGGCUUCGACGGGUAGCCGGCCUGAGAGGGUGACCGGCCACAUUGGGACUGAGAUACGGCCCAGACUCCUACGGGAGGCAGCAGUGGGGAAUAUUGCACAAUGGGCGGAAGCCUGAUGCAGCAACGCCGCGUGCGGGAUGACGGCCUUCGGGUUGUAAACCGCUUUCGCCUGUGACGAAGCGUGAGUGACGGUAAUGGGUAAAGAAGCACCGGCUAACUACGUG